AGAGUUUGAUCCUGGCUCAGGACGAACGCUGGCGGCGUGCCUAAUACAUGCAAGUAGAACGCUGAAGAGAGGAGCUUGCUCUUCUUGGAUGAGUUGCGAACGGGUGAGUAACGCGUAGGUAACCUGCCUUGUAGCGGGGGAUAACUAUUGGAAACGAUAGCUAAUACCGCAUAACAAUGGAUGACACAUGUCAUUUAUUUGAAAGGGGCAAUUGCUCCACUACAAGAUGGACCUGCGUUGUAUUAGCUAGUAGGUGAGGUAACGGCUCACCUAGGCGACGAUACAUAGCCGACCUGAGAGGGUGAUCGGCCACACUGGGACUGAGACACGGCCCAGACUCCUACGGGAGGCAGCAGUAGGGAAUCUUCGGCAAUGGGGGCAACCCUGACCGAGCAACGCCGCGUGAGUGAAGAAGGUUUUCGGAUCGUAAAGCUCUGUUGUAAGUCAAGAACGAGUGUGAGAGUGGAAAGUUCACACUGUGACGGUAGCUUACCAGAAAGGGACGGCUAACUACGUGCCAGCAGCCGCGGUAAUACGUAGGUCCCGAGCGUUGUCCGGAUUUAUUGGGCGUAAAGCGAGCGCAGGCGGUUUGAUAAGUCUGAAGUUAAAGGCUGUGGCUCAACCAUAGUUCGCUUUGGAAACUGUCAAACUUGAGUGCAGAAGGGGAGAGUGGAAUUCCAUGUGUAGCGGUGAAAUGCGUAGAUAUAUGGAGGAACACCGGUGGCGAAAGCGGCUCUCUGGUCUGUAACUGACGCUGAGGCUCGAAAGCGUGGGGAGCGAACAGGAUUAGAUACCCUGGUAGUCCACGCCGUAAACGAUGAGUGCUAGGUGUUGGCCAGAGAUGGUCGGUGCCGCAGCAAACGCAAUAAGCACUCCACCUGGGGAGUACGACCGCAAGGUUGAAACUCAAAGGAAUUGACGGGGGCCCGCACAAGCGGUGGAGCAUGUGGUUUAAUUCGAAGCAACGCGAAGAACCUUACCAGGUCUUGACAUCCCGAUGCUAUUUCUAGAGAUAGAAAGUUACUUCGGUACAUCGGUGACAGGUGGUGCAUGGUUGUCGUCAGCUCGUGUCGUGAGAUGUUGGGUUAAGU
rnacentral:rRNA from 1 species